rfam:Streptomyces sp. HGB0020 genomic scaffold aczIR-supercont1.8, whole genome shotgun sequence.
UCGGCUCCGGUUCACGUGGCAGCAAUCCGCGGCUGCGACCCGGCGCC